UACGUAGGGCGCAAGCGUUGUCCGGAAUUAUUGGGCGUAAAGAGCUCGUAGGCGGCUUGUCACGUCGGGUGUGAAAGCCCGGGGCUUAACCCCGGGUCUGCAUUCGAUACGGGCUGGCUGGAGUGUGGUAGGGGAGAUCGGAAUUCCUGGUGUAGCGGUGAAAUGCGCAGAUAUCAGGAAGAACACCCGUGGCGAAGGCGGCUCUCUGGGACGGUACUGACGCUGAGACGCGAAAGCGUGGGGAGCGAACAGG
rnacentral:rRNA from 1 species